rnacentral:rRNA from 1 species
AUUGAACGCUGGCGGCAUGCCUUACACAUGCAAGUCGAACGGCAGCACGGGUGCUUGCUCCUGGUGUCGAGUGGCGCACGGGUGAGUAAUACAUCGGAACAUGUCCUGUAGUGGGGGAUAGCCCGGCGAAAGCCGGAUUAAUACCGCAUACGACCUACGGAUGAAAGCGGGGGACCUUCGGGCCUCGCGCUAUAGGGCUGGCCGAUGGCUGAUUAGCUAGUUGGUGGGGUAAAGUCCUACCAAGGCGACGAUCAGUAGCUGGUCUGAGAGGACGACCAGCCACACUGGGACUGAGACACGGCCCAGACUCCUACGGGAGGCAGCAGUAGGGAAUUGUGGACAAUGGGCGAAAGCCUGAUCCAGCAAUGCCGCGUGUGUGAAGAAGGCCUUCGGGUUGUAAAGCACUUUUGUCCGGAAAGAAAUCCUUGGCUCUAAUACAGUCGGGGGAUGACGGUACCGGAAGAAUAAGCACCGGCUAACUACGUG